GACGAACGCUGGCGGCGUGCCUAAUACAUGCAAGUCGAGCGAAUGACGAGAAGCUUGCUUCUCUGAUUUAGCGGCGGACGGGUGAGUAACACGUGGGCAACCUGCCCUACAGAUCGGGAUAACUCAGGGAAACCUGGGCUAAUACCGGAUAAUCCUUCGAAUCACAUGUUUUGAAGUUGAAAGGCGCUUCGGCGUCACUGUAGGAUGGGCCCGCGGUGCAUUAGCUAGUUGGUGGGGUAACGGCCUACCAAGGCAACGAUGCAUAGCCGACCUGAGAGGGUGAUCGGCCACAUUGGGACUGAGACACGGCCCAAACUCCUACGGGAGGCAGCAGUAGGGAAUCUUCCACAAUGGACGAAAGUCUGAUGGAGCAACGCCGCGUGAGUGAUGAAGGUUUUCGGAUUGUAAAACUCUGUCGUAAGGGAAGAACAAGUACGUUAGGAAAUGAACGUACCUUGACGGUACCUUAUUAGAAAGCCACGGCUAACUACGUGCCAGCCGCCGCCGUAA
rnacentral:rRNA from 1 species